AGUCGUAACAAGGUAUCCGUAGGUGAACCUGCGGAUGGAUCAUUAUAGGGUGUUGGGUAAUUGUGAGUGGUUUUAUUAUUAGUAGUUUGAGCGGUGUUGGUUGGGAUGCGAAGCAGGAUUGCCAAGCAGGAUUGCCAAGCAGGAUUGCCAAGCAGGAUUGCCAAGCAAGACAGCCAACAUUGCCUCACGUUAAACUCUAUAAAUCUAACAAUUACAUACAAAAAAAAACAACUUUUAGCAACGGAUCUCUUGGCUCUC
rnacentral:misc_RNA from 1 species